rnacentral:rRNA from 1 species
UUUAUUGGGUUUAAAGGGAGCGCAGGCUGCACUUUAAGCGUGUUGUGAAAUGUACCGGCUCAACCGGUAACGUGCAGCGCGAACUGGGGUGCUUGAGUACGAAGAGGGAAAGCGGAACUCGUGGUGUAGCGGUGAAAUGCUUAGAUAUCACGAGGAACUCCGAUCGCGAAGGCAGCUUUCCGUUUCGGGACUGACGCUGAGGCUCGAAAGUGCGGGUAUCGAACAGGAUUAGAUACCCUGGUAGUCCGCACGGUAAACGAUGGAUGCUCGCUGUUGGAUAUUUUUAUUCAGUGGCUAAGUGAAAACGUUAAGCAUCCCACCUGGGGAGUACGCCGGCAACGGUGAAACUCAAAGGAAUUGACGGGGGCCCGCACAAGCGGAGGAACAUGUGGUUUAAUUCGAUGAUACGCGAGGAACCUUACCCGGGCUUGA